GGACUACCGGGGUAUCUAAUCCUGUUUGCUCCCCACGCUUUCGUGCAUGAGCGUCAGUGCUGGCCCAGGAGGCUGCCUUCGCCAUCGGUGUUCCUCCACAUCUCUACGCAUUUCACUGCUACACGUGGAAUUCCACCUCCCUCUGCCACACUCCAGCUCGCCAGUCACAAGCGCAAUUCCCAAGUUAAGCUCGGGGCUUUCACACCUGUCUUAACGCGCCGCCUGCGCACGCUUUACGCCCAGUAAUUCCGAUUAACGCUCGCACCCUACGUAUUACCGCGGCUGCUGGCAC
rnacentral:rRNA from 1 species